CCACAGAUAUCUCCCGCGGGGCCGCAACGGCUGAUGGGAGAUGGAGGCAGCGGACAUUACACUACAUCUCCCACAAUGCAGUGCGCAGCGGGGGGAAGUGGCGGUUCUGAGCGGAACCGUGAAACAGCCGUCGGUGCCCGAGAGCUACGCCACCUGCAGAGAGACAGCCAGAUGUUUCCAGAUCCAGUAUCGAGUCGUAUUGUGACGUGAAGGUACCAAGGGAAAAUAAGUCACGUGCCAGAAUCUACUGCCCUCAUGUGAUGGAAAGUGAAGGAGAGCGAUGACACUGCAAGUAUUGUCGAUGCCACGCAAAAGCCGUCCAACUGGGAGCGGAACAGCUGCCACUCUCAAUGAGAAGUGUCUGUUUUGGUGAUUGCUCUGCUCAUGGCCCUCCCUGCUCCUGGUAGGGACGCCACAUUAGCUGGGGCUGGGUUUGUAAGAAAAUGUUCUUGACUAGCUGUAGUUACGAAGGGCACAAGGUCCCCAUUUUCAGAGGCUGCUCAAUUCUCUGGCCAGGAGCGGCGAGUUCUCUUCAGUAGAAGGUUGGAUCCAGGAGGAUGACUGCAGGUGGACACAGGCAGGGUGCUAGGUGUGCAUCCUCACAGGCUAGGUCUUGGGAGCCAUGGAAAAGGAAGAGCAGAGAAAAAUCAUGAGGGGCAGUGGGCGCUGAAGUGGAGCGGUGACUCUGAUUACUCAUCCGUGUUCAUCGAGUCGGGCUCAGGUGCACUUCCAGAGGAAGUGUCCAGGAGCCCCAGCCCGAGGAGAAGCUGGCAGAAGUGGAUCUGAUCAGCCUGAACAUCCUUCUAAGCAGACAUGAGCAGUCCUCAGCUUUCUGCCUCGCACAUAACACUUCAUGACUUUUAGCAGCACGGCUGAAGCUUAAGAUAAAUGCAUGGUAGAGGCUGAGUACAGGCGGCUGCUUCACUUUAGUACCACAGACAAAGAAGUCAAGGGUAAGAGCCCACCCCUGUUGUGAGAUGGAAAGCGCACAAGAGCCGUGAGACAGUGAGCGUUGUUGAUGCCAGGAUAUGCAGAUACCGUCGAACUGGAAGUGGAGCAGCCGUGACCAUCAGUGAGGACACAGGCAGUGGUGCUAGCUGUGCAUCCCCGCAGGCUAGGUCUUGGGAGCCAUGAAGAAGUAGGAGGGGAUGAAAAUCAUGCUGGACAGUGGGUGCGAGAGUGGAGCGCUGCGCUUCUAGAGGAAUCAUGGAGGAGCAGCAGCCGAAGGAGAAGGUGGCAGACGUGGACCUGAGCAGUUUGGACAUUGUUCUAAGCAGAGAUUAACAGUCCUCAGCUUUCUGCCUUGCACAUAACUGGCUGUGAGUAAGUGAUACUAUAUUCAAAGCACUGAACUCCUCACUUAAAGUCGCCCCGGUU